GGCUUGGGAGCGGAGGACAUUACG
rnacentral:rRNA from 1 species